rnacentral:rRNA from 1 species
AUGGCGACCGGCGUACGGGUGAGUAACACGUAUCCAACCUGCCGAUGACUCGGGGAUAGCCUUUCGAAAGAAAGAUUAAUACCCGAUGGCAUAGUUCUUCCGCAUGGUAGAACUAUUAAAGAAUUUCGGUCAUCGAUGGGGAUGCGUUCCAUUAGCUUGUUGGCGGGGUAACGGCCCACCAAGGCAUCGAUGGAUAGGGGUUCUGAGAGGAAGGUCCCCCACAUUGGAACUGAGACACGGUCCAAACUCCUACGGAAGGCAGCAG